ACAAACACAUGAUACAGGUCAGAUAUCCGUAGGCGCAUCAGAGUGUCUGUGUGCUCUCGCUGUAGUCACAAACACAUGAUACAGGUCAGAUAUCCGUAGGUUCAGAGUGUCUGUGUGCUCUCGCUGUAGUCACAAACACAUGAUACAGGUCAGAUAUCCGUAGGUGCAGAGUGUCUGUGUGCUCUCGCUGUAGUCACAAACACAUGAUACAGGUCAGAUAUCCGUAGGUGCAUCAGUGUCUGUGUGCUCUCGCUGUAGUCACAAACACAUGAUACAGGUCAGAUAUCCGUAGGAGCAUCAGAGUGUCUGUGUGCUCUCGCUGUAGUCACAAACACAUGAUACAGGUCAGAUAUCCGUAGGUGCAUCAGAGUGUCUGUGUGCUCUCGCUGUAGUCACAAACACAUGAUACAGGUCAGAUAUCCGUAGGUGCAUCAGUGUCUGUGUGCUCUCGCUGUAGUCACAAACACAUGAUACAGGUCAGAUAUCCGUAGGUGCAUCAGAGUGUCUGUGUGCUCUCGCUGUAGUCACAAACACAUGAUACAGGUCAGAUAUCCGUAGGUGCAUCAGAGUGUCUGUGUGCUCUCGCUGUAGUCACAAACACAUGAUACAGGUCAGAUAUCCGUAGGAGCAUCAGUGUCUGUGUGCUCUCGCUGUAGUCACAAACACAUGAUACAGGUCAGAUAUCCGUAGGAGCAUCAGAGUGUCUGUGUGCUCUCGCUGUAGUCACAAACACAUGAUACAGGUCAGAUAUCCGUAGGUGCAUCAGAGUGUCUGUGUGCUCUCGCUGUAGUCACAAACACAUGAUACAGGUCAGAUAUCCGUAGGUGCAUCAGUGUCUGUGUGCUCUCGCUGUAGUCACAAACACAUGAUACAGGUCAGAUAUCCGUAGGUGCAUCAGAGUGUCUGUGUGCUCUCGCUGUAGUCACAAACACAUGAUACAGGUCAGAUAUCCGUAGGAGCAUCAGAGUGUCUGUGUGCUCUCGCUGUAGUCACAAACACAUGAUACAGGUCAGAUAUCCGUAGGUGCAUCAGAGUGUCUGUGUGCUCUCGCUGUAGUCACAAACACAUGAUACAGGUCAGAUAUCCGUAGGUUCAGAGUGUCUGUGUGCUCUCGCUGUAGUCACAAACACAUGAUACAGGUCAGAUAUCCGUAGGCGCAUCAGAGUGUCUGUGUGCUCUCGCUGUAGUCACAAACACAUGAUACAGGUCAGAUAUCCGUAGGUGCAUCAGAGUGUCUGUGUGCUCUCGCUGUAGUCACAAACACAUGAUACAGGUCAGAUAUCCGUAGGUGCAUCAGAGUGUCUGUGUGCUCUCGCUGUAGUCACAAACACAUGAUACAGGUCAGAUAUCCGUAGGUGCAGAGUGUCUGUGUGCUCUCGCUGUAGUCACAAACACAUGAUACAGGUCAGAUAUCCGUAGGUUCAUCAGAGUGUCUGUGUGCUCUCGCUGUAGUCACAAACACAUGAUACAGGUCAGAUAUCCGUAGGUGCAUCAGUGUCUGUGUGCUCUCGCUGUAGUCACAAACACAUGAUACAGGUCAGAUAUCCGUAGGAGCAUCAGAGUGUCUGUGUGCUCUCGCUGUAGUCACAAACACAUGAUACAGGUCAGAUAUCCGUAGGAGCAUCAGAGUGUCUGUGUGCUCUCGCUGUAGUCACAAACACAUGAUACAGGUCAGAUAUCCGUAGGUGCAUCAGAGUGUCUGUGUGCUCUCGCUGUAGUCACAAACACAUGAUACAGGUCAGAUAUCCGUAGGUGCAGAGUGUCUGUGUGCUCUCGCUGUAGUCACAAACACAUGAUACAGGUCAGAUAUCCGUAGGGGCAUCAGAGUGUCUGUGUGCUCUCGCUGUAGUCACAAACACAUGAUACAGGUCAGAUAUCCGUAGGAGCAUCAGAGUGUCUGUGUGCUCUCGCUGUAGUCACAAACACAUGAUACAGGUCAGAUAUCCGUAGGUGCAUCAGAGUGUCUGUGUGCUCUCGCUGUAGUCACAAACACAUGAUACAGGUCAGAUAUCCGUAGGUUCAGAGUGUCUGUGUGCUCUCGCUGUAGUCACAAACACAUGAUACAGGUCAGAUAUCCGUAGGUGCAGAGUGUCUGUGUGCUCUCGCUGUAGUCACAAACACAUGAUACAGGUCAGAUAUCCGUAGGAGCAUCAGAGUAUCUGUGUGCUCUCGCUGUAGUCACAAACACAUGAUACAGGUCAGAUAUCCGUAGGUGCAUCAGAGUGACUGUGUGCUCUCGCUGUAGUCACAAACACAUGAUACAGGUCAGAUAUCCGUAGGUGCAUCAGAGUGACUGUGUGCUCUCGCUGUAGUCACAAACACAUGAUACAGGUCAGAUAUCCGUAGGAGCAUCAGAGUGUCUGUGUGCUCUCGCUGUAGUCACAAACACAUGAUACAGGUCAGAUAUCCGUAGGUGCAUCAGUGUCUGUGUGCUCUCGCUGUAGUCACAAACACAUGAUACAGGUCAGAUAUCCGUAGGAGCAUCAGAGUGUCUGUGUGCUCUCGCUGUAGUCACAAACACAUGAUACAGGUCAGAUAUCCGUAGGUGCAUCAGAGUGUCUGUGUGCUCUCGCUGUAGUCACAAACACAUGAUACAGGUCAGAUAUCCGUAGGUGCAGAGUGUCUGUGUGCUCUCGCUGUAGUCACAAACACAUGAUACAGGUCAGAUAUCCGUAGGGGCAUCAGAGUGUCUGUGUGCUCUCGCUGUAGUCACAAACACAUGAUACAGGUCAGAUAUCCGUAGGAGCAUCAGAGUGUCUGUGUGCUCUCGCUGUAGUCACAAACACAUGAUACAGGUCAGAUAUCCGUAGGUGCAUCAGAGUGUCUGUGUGCUCUCGCUGUAGUCACAAACACAUGAUACAGGUCAGAUAUCCGUAGGUGCAGAGUGUCUGUGUGCUCUCGCUGUAGUCACAAACACAUGAUACAGGUCAGAUAUCCGUAGGAGCAUCAGAGUGUCUGUGUGCUCUCGCUGUAGUCACAAACACAUGAUACAGGUCAGAUAUCCGUAGGUGCAUCAGAGUGUCUGUGUGCUCUCGCUGUAGUCACAAACACAUGAUACAGGUCAGAUAUCCGUAGGUGCAUCAGAGUGUCUGUGUGCUCUCGCUGUAGUCACAAACACAUGAUACAGGUCAGAUAUCCGUAGGUGCAGAGUGUCUGUGUGCUCUCGCUGUAGUCACAAACACAUGAUACAGGUCAGAUAUCCGUAGGAGCAUCAGAGUGUCUGUGUGCUCUCGCUGUAGUCACAAACACAUGAUACAGGUCAGAUAUCCGUAGGUGCAUCAGAGUGUCUGUGUGCUCUCGCUGUAGUCACAAACACAUGAUACAGGUCAGAUAUCCGUAGGUGCAGAGUGUCUGUGUGCUCUCGCUGUAGUCACAAACACAUGAUACAGGUCAGAUAUCCGUAGGAGCAUCAGAGUGUCUGUGUGCUCUCGCUGUAGUCACAAACACAUGAUACAGGUCAGAUAUCCGUAGGUUCAGAGUGUCUGUGUGCUCUCGCUGUAGUCACAAACACAUGAUACAGGUCAGAUAUCCGUAGGCGCAUCAGAGUGUCUGUGUGCUCUCGCUGUAGUCACAAACACAUGAUACAGGUCAGAUAUCCGUAGGUGCAUCAGAGUGUCUGUGUGCUCUCGCUGUAGUCACAAACACAUGAUACAGGUCAGAUAUCCGUAGGUGCAUCAGAGUGUCUGUGUGCUCUCGCUGUAGUCACAAACACAUGAUACAGGUCAGAUAUCCGUAGGUGCAUCAGAGUGUCUGUGUGCUCUCGCUGUAGUCACAAACACAUGAUACAGGUCAGAUAUCCGUAGGUGCAGAGUGUCUGUGUGCUCUCGCUGUAGUCACAAACACAUGAUACAGGUCAGAUAUCCGUAGGAGCAUCAGAGUGUCUGUGUGCUCUCGCUGUAGUCACAAACACAUGAUACAGGUCAGAUAUCCGUAGGUGCAUCAGAGUGUCUGUGUGCUCUCGCUGUAGUCACAAACACAUGAUACAGGUCAGAUAUCCGUAGGAGCAUCAGAGUGUCUGUGUGCUCUCGCUGUAGUCACAAACACAUGAUACAGGUCAGAUAUCCGUAGGUGCAUCAGAGUGUCUGUGUGCUCUCGCUGUAGUCAAACACAUGAUACAGGUCAGAUAUCCGUAGGAGCAUCAGAGUGUCUGUGUGCUCUCGCUGUAGUCACAAACACAUGAUACAGGUCAGAUAUCCGUAGGGGCAUCAGAGUGUCUGUGUGCUCUCGCUGUAGUCACAAACACAUGAUACAGGUCAGAUAUCCGUAGGUGCAUCAGAGUGUCUGUGUGCUCUCGCUGUAGUCACAAACACAUGAUACAGGUCAGAUAUCCGUAGGUGCAUCAGAGUGUCUGUGUGCUCUCGCUGUAGUCACAAACACAUGAUACAGGUCAGAUAUCCGUAGGGGCAUCAGAGUGUCUGUGUGCUCUCGCUGUAGUCACAAACACAUGAUACAGGUCAGAUAUCCGUAGGAGCAUCAGAGUGUCUGUGUGCUCUCGCUGUAGUCACAAACACAUGAUACAGGUCAGAUAUCCGUAGGGGCAUCAGAGUGUCUGUGUGCUCUCGCUGUAGUCACAAACACAUGAUACAGGUCAGAUAUCCGUAGGUGCAUCAGAGUGUCUGUGUGCUCUCGCUGUAGUCACAAACACAUGAUACAGGUCAGAUAUCCGUAGGAGCAUCAGAGUGUCUGUGUGCUCUCGCUGUAGUCACAAACACAUGAUACAGGUCAGAUAUCCGUAGGUUCAGAGUGUCUGUGUGCUCUCGCUGUAGUCACAAACACAUGAUACAGGUCAGAUAUCCGUAGGUGCAGAGUGUCUGUGUGCUCUCGCUGUAGUCACAAACACAUGAUACAGGUCAGAUAUCCGUAGGUGCAUCAGAGUGUCUGUGUGCUCUCGCUGUAGUCACAAACACAUGAUACAGGUCAGAUAUCCGUAGGUGCAGAGUGUCUGUGUGCUCUCGCUGUAGUCACAAACACAUGAUACAGGUCAGAUAUCCGUAGGUGCAUCAGAGUGUCUGUGUGCUCUCGCUGUAGUCACAAACACAUGAUACAGGUAAGAUAUUACAGAAAGACAUGUGCAAAUAGAAAUGCCACACACACACAGACACACACAGGGCCCUCUCUCCCACCUCCAUGAGUGUCUCCUCAGGCAGCUCUGGGG